rnacentral:rRNA from 1 species
GACGAACGCUGGCGGCGUGCUUAACACAUGCAAGUCGAACGGUGAAAGCGGAGCUUGCUCCGCUGGAUCAGUGGCGAACGGGUGAGUAACACGUGGGCAACCUGCCCCUCACUUCGGGAUAACACCGGGAAACCGGGGCUAAUACCGGAUAUGACCUCCUUGGGCAUCCUUGGAGGUGGAAAGUUUUUCGGUGAGGGAUGGGCCCGCGGCCUAUCAGCUUGUUGGUGAGGUAGUGGCUCACCAAGGCGACGACGGGUAGCCGGCCUGAGAGGGCGACCGGCCACCCGGGGACUGGCACACGGCCCAGACUCCUACGGGAGGCCCCAGCGGGGAAUAUUGCGCAAUGGGCGCAAGCCCGACGCAGCAACGCCGCGUGCGUGCUGACGGCCUUCGUUUUGCAAACCGCUCUCCGCAGGGAAGAAGCCGCAAGGUGAUCGUACUUGCAGAAGUAGCAUCGGCUAACUACGUUCCAGCCGCCGCGGUAA